GGAGGCUUUGGGACUGUCUUCUUUGGAAAACGCAGAGAAGACAAUUUCCCAGUGGUGAUUAAGCAUGUUGCUCAGUUUUUAGUCAGCUACCUACCAGUGCUUCUUAAUGGUAAAAUGACCGAGAUUCCCAAGGAGGUGGCAUUGCUAAUAAAAGUGGGGGCAGGACCAGAGGCUACGAGCAGCAAUGUGACGCCCGCUUUAAACGACUGGUAUGACUUGGAAGAUGAACUCAUUAUGGUUUGUCUUCUAAGCCUGAAGGGAAAAAGAAGGAACACACACACGUAAAGGAAGCACUUAAAACAUGCGGUUAUCCUAACUGGGCGUUCAUAAAGUCAGCAAAGACGCACAGAAAAGAAGAUCAGACACCAGCGAGGGAGGAUAAGAAAGACAGACGCAACAACGUUGUCAUCCCCUAUGUAGCCGGUGUAUCAGAGAAACUCAGGAGGGUUUUCUCCAAGCACGACAUCCCAGUGUACUUCAGACCCAGCAACACACUCAGACAGAAACUGGUUCACCCGAAAGACAAAACUCCUAAACACAAACUGAACAACGUGGUGUAUGCUGUACAGUGCAGCGAGGAAUGCC